CCUACGGGGGGCAGCAGUGGGGAAUAUUGGACAAUGGGGGGAACCCUGAUCCAGCCAUGCCGCGUGUGUGAAGAAGGCCCUCGGGUUGUAAAGCACUUUCAGUGAGGAAGAACGCCUGGUGGUUAAUACCCAUCAGGAAAGACAUCACUCACAGAAGAAGCACCGGCUAACUCCGUGCCAGCAGCCGCGGUAAUACGGAGGGUGCGAGCGUUAAUCGGAAUUACUGGGCGUAAAGCGCGCGUAGGUGGCUUGAUAAGCCGGUUGUGAAAGCCCCGGGCUCAACCUGGGAACGGCAUCCGGAACUGUCAAGCUAGAGGGCAGGAGAGGAAGGUAGAAUUCCCGGUGUAGCGGUGAAAUGCGUAGAGAUCGGGAGGAAUACCAGUGGCGAAGGCGGCCUUCUGGACUGACACUGACACUGAGGUGCGAAAGCGUGGGUAGCAAACAGGAUUAGAUACCCGUGUAGUC
rnacentral:rRNA from 1 species